rnacentral:rRNA from 1 species
CUACGGGAGGCUGCAGCGAGGAAUAUUGCACAAUGGGGGGAACCCUGAUGCAGCAACGCCGCGUGGAGGAUGACGCAUUUCGGUGUGUAAACUCCUUUUAUAUGUCAAGAAAAUGACGGUAGCAUAUGAAUAAGCACCGGCUAACUCCGUGCCAGCAGCCGCGGUAAUACGGAGGGUGCGAGCGUUACUCGGAAUCACUGGGCGUAAAGGACACGUAGGCGGGUUGGAAAGUCAGGUGUGAAAUCCUACAGCUUAACUGUAGAACUGCACUUGAAACUUCUAAUCUAGAGUAUGGGAGGGGGAGAUGGAAUUAGAGGUGUAGGGGUAAAAUCCGUAGAUAUCACUAGGAAUACCUAAAGCGAAGGCGAUCUCCUGGAACAUUACUGACGCUAAGGCGUGAAAGCGUGGGGAGCAAACAGGAUUAGAUACCCUAGUAGUC